rnacentral:tRNA from 1 species
GGCAAGAUGGCCGAGUUGGUUAUGGCGUAGGAUUAAGGUGUUCUCUCAUGAGAUAUCAUGUCUUCCUAUGGAGCAAUCCGCGUGGGUUCAAGUCCCACUCUUGUCA